AACGAACGCUGGCGGCGUGCUUAACACAUGCAAGUCGAACGCGAAAGGGACUUCGGUCCUGAGUAAAGUGGCGCACGGGUGAGUAACGCGUAGAUAACCUGUCUUCGAGUCUGGAAUAAUACACCGAAAGGGGUACUAAUACCGGAUAUUCUUGCAUUUCAUAAGGAGUGUAAGCAAAGGUGGCCUCUGUAUAUGCUACUGCUUGAUGAGGGGUCUGCGUACCAUUAGCUAGUAGGUGGGGUAAUGGCCCACCUAGGCUACGAUGGUUAGCGGGUCUGAGAGGAUGAUCCGCCACACUGGCACUGGAACACGGGCCAGACUCCUACGGGAGGCAGCAGUGAGGAAUAUUGCGCAAUGGGGGGCAACCCUGACGCAGCGACGCCGCGUGAGUGAGGAAGGCCUGGUCGUAAGCUCUGUCAAGGGAAAGAAAUAGUAUAAUGGCUAAUACCUGUUAUAUUGUACGGUACCUUAACGGUAAGACACCGGCUAACUCCGUGCCAG
rnacentral:rRNA from 1 species